rnacentral:tRNA from 1 species
GGGCCCGUAGCUCAGCCAGGACUAGAGCGCCGGCCUGCGGAGCCGGCGGUCAGGGGUUCAAAUCCCCUCGGGCCCGCCA